GGUCAUGUGGUAUAGCAGUUUUAGUGUUGGACUAUAACUCUGGAGAUCAGGGUUCAAAUCCCCACUCGACCA